rnacentral:rRNA from 1 species
UAAGAAUCUUCCACAAUGGACGAAAGUCUGAUGGAGCGACGCCGCGUGGGUGAUGAAGGCGGAAACGUUGUAAAGCCCUUUUAUAGGCGAGGAAUAAGAUUCGGAGGGAAUGCCGGGUCGAUGACGGUAGCUUAUGAAUAAGCCCCGGCUAAUUACGUGCCAGCAGCCGCGGUAACACGUAUGGGGCGAGCGUUGUUCGGAAUUAUUGGGCGUAAAGGGUGCGCAGGCGGUUACGUAAGUCUGGUGUUAAAUCCCGCAGCUCAACUGCGGAAAGGCAUUGGAAACUGUGUGACUAGAGUUCGUGAGGGGUAGCUGGAAUUCCAGGUGUAGGGGUGAAAUCUGUAGAUAUCUGGAAGAACAUCAAUGGCGAAGGCAAGCUACUAGCACUGAACUGACGCUGAGGCACGAAAGUAUGGGGAGCAAAC